CACAGACACUUAGGAUAGGAAAUAAUCCCAAGGCUCAUUACUACAUAUAAAUCCCUCAGCCUUCUGGGUUUCCUUCUCUGGAGCCACUGCGAAAAUGGACACAUCAAUACAGCCUUCUGCAGAAAAGCUGACAAUCUCAAAAUGGGCUCAUGCUGCAAAAACUGAAAUCUCCUGCCAGCUCCUAGGAGCCAGCUGCUAUGUGAACUGUUAACAUCCCAGCUCAAAGAGACUGCAGACCAAACAGAAAGUCUUGUUUGGGAAAAUUCUUGAGCCCAAAUGAUUGGAGGAUUACUUUGGAUAAGUAAAGAACUCUGGAUUGGUAAAUUUUGCUGUUAAUCCCCAAGAUAAACUUCAUGAACAUUCA